UACGUAGGUGGCGAGCGUUGUCCGGAUUUAUUGGGCUUAAAGGGUGCGUAGGCGGCCCUAUAAGUCAGUGGUGAAAUAUCGCAGCUCAACUGUGAGGGUGCCAUUGAUACUGUAGGGCUUGAGUGAAGUUGAGGUAGGCGGAAUUGACGGUGUAGCGGUGAAAUGCUUAGAUAUCGUCAAGAACACCGAUAGUGAAGACAGCUGACCAAGCUUCAACUGACGCUGAGGCACGAAAGUGUGGGGAUCAAACAGG
rnacentral:rRNA from 1 species